rnacentral:rRNA from 1 species
CCGGCGACGGGUGAACGUAACAGUACUACCAACCUCGCCGUUCUACUUCGUUCGGACGUCCUUCUAGGAAGAAGAUUAAUCCAGGAUGGCAUCAUGAGUUCACAUGUCCGCAUGAUUAAAGGUAUUUUCCGGUAGACGAUGGGGAUGCGUUCCAUUAGAUAGUAGGCGGGGUAACGGCCCACCUAGUCAACGAUGGAUAGGGGUUCUGAGAGGAAGGUCCCCCACAUUGGAACUGAGACACGGUCCAA